CCCCUAUCUUAUGUUNCCANCNCGUUANGGUGGGGACUCGUAAGAGNCUGCCGGGGUCAACUCGGAGGAAGGUGGGGACGACGUCAAGUCAUCAUGCCCCUUAUGUCCAGGGCUUCACACAUGCUACAAUGGCCAGUACAGAGGGCUGCGAGACCGUGAGGUGGAGCGAAUCCCUUAAAGCUGGUCUCAGUUCGGAUCGGGGUCUGCAACUCGACCCCGNGAAGUCGGAG
rnacentral:rRNA from 1 species